rnacentral:rRNA from 1 species
GAUGAACGCUGGCGGCGUGCCUAAUACAUGCAAGUCGAGCGAACAGACGAGGAGCUUGCUCCUCUGACGUUAGCGGCGGACGGGUGAGUAACACGUGGAUAACCUACCUAUAAGACUGGGAUAACUUCGGGAAACCGGAGCUAAUACCGGAUAAUAUAUUGAACCGCAUGGUUCAAUAGUGAAAGACGGUUUUGCUGUCACUUAUAGAUGGAUCCGCGCCGCAUUAGCUAGUUGGUAAGGUAACGGCUUACCAAGGCAACGAUGCGUAGCCGACCUGAGGGGGUGAUCGGCCACACUGGAACUGAGACACGGUCCAGACUCCUACGGGAGGCAGCAGUAGGGAAUCUUCCGCAAUGGGCGAAAGCUUGACGGAGCAACGCCGCGUGAGUGAUGAAGGUCUUCGGAUCGUAAAACUCCGUUAUUAGGGAAGAACAAAUGUGUAAGUAACUAUGCACGUCUUGACGGUACCUAAUCAGAAAGCCACGGCUAACUACGUG